CGACAGCGCCAACUGGCAUCCAUCCCUCUAAACUCAAACAGUCCAUGUACGCCUACGAGAGUCCCCGCGACAACUUUGCCGUCAGAUCGCUCAAGUCUGGUGCUUCUAUACAAAUUUUGUGAGACAGAAUUUCAUAGCAAAAAAUAGUCUAUAAAACAAACUCCAGCCAACAAGUGGAAUAAACCCAAAAAACCCCAUAACUGUCCCGAAGGUGUGUUCCUCCACAAAACAAGCUCCAGCCAUUAGCGAAACCAGCACAAAAAAAAAAAAUUUCAAUUCUUCGGGCAGUCAAAUGAAUGUUCAGUAAGCCGGCCUAUUUGGGCGAUACAUGAGUGCAACAAAAGACCCAAUCACUUCAAUGUCCUGCAAGAGAUAUUCCACAAAACAAACUCCAGGCCACAGGAAGUAUAAGCACCAAAAACAUGCAGAUUUAUCUACAAGCUGUCCCGAAGAAAUUAUAUUACACAAAACAAACUCCAGCCACUAGGUGGAACCAGCACAAAAAGAAACAAAGAAGGCGCCCAGCUUCCUUGGGCAGUCGAGUGUAUGUUCAGUGAGUCAAGUCCACUAGACAGCAACGUGAAAAUCACCAAAUGGCUUACUCACUCCAAUGUCUUCAUGAAAGACAAUGCUUGUCUUCUGAUUUUCCCCAAACGCGUUGCAAGUCUGUCUUAGUUGCUGGCGGGUUAGCAGCUAAUUCCCUCUACGAUGACACCAGAUAAUCGAUCCGUUUUUCGACAUCCGACAAUCUUGUAACCAAUUUCGUCUCCAUGGAAGUGAUCGAUCGACGUAUUACAGCAAGAUUCUCCAAGUCUGCGAUGACCUUCAUCGACAUCACAGACAUGUUCGCCAGUUGACGUUGAAUUUCUCCCGCCGCACCGUCCAAACCGAGUCCCUGGUCUGCAGCCUUGUCAGGGGUGUCAGCUUGAGCACAUGGUAAAUAUGUCUGAGGCACUUCCAGAACAAUCAAAACAAAAGUUGUGAGUGGGACAGAAGAAGCCAACAACAUAUAUGAAGAGUUUCAUGCCAGCAGCAUUGAAGCACAUACUGGUCAAAUAAAACGAGAGAUGCCAUUUCCAGAAGAUUUUAUUGGCCUGGCAUGUCACAGGAUAUUGACAAAUGGGUGGCACAGUGUGGAAAAUGCCAAGCCAGUAGACCCUUUAUAAAACAGGGGACUGACUACACACCUAUUGUGGUUAAACAGCCCUUUGAACAUUUAGGAAUGGUCCUCAUUGGCAAACUGUCAUUGACAGAUAAUGGAAAUCAGUACAUUUGUGUUAUAAUUGAUUACCUCACAAAGUGGUCCCAGACCUAUCCUUUGAAAUCCAAAACAGCCAAAGAAGUCACAGAAAGUUUAAUCAAAUUUGUGCAUCAGUUUGAAGCUCCUAAAAGAGUCCUUCCUGACCAGAGGAAAGUGUUUGUGAAUAAGUUGAACCGACGUGUGUGCAAACUGCUCAGUAUCAAGCAGUCCUUGUGUACACCCUAUCACCCACAAACGAAUGGGCUUGUGGAAAGGAUGAAUGCUACAAUACAGAGGGCCCCAGCACCGGAGGUAAUGUUUUUUCACAAUUAUUAUUUUUAUUUUUAACGCAUUGACCCAUUUUAUAAGGUAUUCAUCAUGCUUGAAACUUGGCACACACAUCAAACCUGCAUAAAAUCAAAAGAUUAUGCAGUGUUUAGGCUUGGGUGUGGUCAAGGAGCUCUACAGUGCCUCCAAACGCAGGCAAUAUUUGGGAUGAAGUUGCUCAGAUGUGCAUAAGACUUUUUUAUAGACUUUGGAAUAGCACUCUCUUUUUUACCUGAAUUGCUUCAAACUUGUUUAAAAUAAUGUCAGGACAAUGCUGAUGUCAAAUCUUUUAUAACAUUGAAUAUUAUUCCUUUAUAUAUUAGGUGUGUUUUGAGGCACAUGGAAUGCUUAAUUUCACAUGAUAUUUGGCACACACAGCUCUGUUUUGCCCCCUUUAAAAUAUGCAUUUUUGGGAUGCUCUGUAGCACACUUUUUUUCAGCUACAAGCUUACUCAGUACAUAUUUAGAUCUCAUCAAGCCGGACAACUUCGUACUGACAGUCUUAAGCUCCGCCCAACAGGACGUCGGCCAGGAAGUGGGUAUAACUUGGUCAUGCUUGGUCUGAUCAGCUUCAAAUUGUGCAUUGUUACCAAUGGGCCAUUCCUGAUUACACCAACAUGGCAAUUAUGAGGCAGAUGCUGUAUUCAGUUACACAAUUUUAUAUGUUAUAGAAACACUUAUGUUUGUGAAAAUGUACAAUGAAUUGCUUCAUGUGUACUGAAAUAUACUGGCAUAACUUGUGCAAUGGUAGUAUAUUUAGAUGUCAUUUUCUUGUACACAUGAUCAAUCAAUGUUCCAUUUUUAGUGAUAGGUUCUUUGACACAUGGAACAUAGCUUAGGUUUGCCAUCAGUGUAGACAUUGUGUGUGUUUUCAGUUCAUCAUGGUUCCAAUCACCAAUUAAAAAGAUAUUAUCUGACAUAUUGUUUUAUGUAUUGCAGAGUUUAAGUAAUAUAUUUUUGAAACGAAGAUAAGUGAUAUUGUAAUGGCCUGUAAAUAACAAUGAUUAUAUCAAGUUUGUUGAGUUGACAUAUUAUGCACUUUAUGUUAACAUUGGGAAUGUCCAAAAUAUUGUAAUCAUUAUUAGUUUUACAGUAUAUGCCAACACCACCAUGUUUUUGGUGUCGAAUUGAGUUUAACAGAGGGUUGUCUGUACUGUAAGCAAAACAACAUGCAGCACUGUGAAAGUGGAUUCACUUGAUAUAUUUGCAGGCAGCCAUGUCUCUGUUACAGCUGUAAUUAUAGGAUUGGAUUGAAGCCGUUAAAUCUAGCAAAUGGCAGUGUAAAACCUGAACAUUCAUUAGGAAAACUGAAAAAGAUUUGUUGGUGUUAUGUGGUGAAAUAUUAUAAAGUUCAAACUGUGGCAUUGUGUUGAUACAUUCUUGGAUGUUGUUUGUAAUGCAAUAAAUUGCUUUAUCAGCAACGUCUUGAAUGAUCAACCCACUUAAAGUCUUGACUUGACUUAAAGCAACAUAUGCCUGUCCAGCUGCAAAAAUCUUUUUUUAGUGAUAUGACCGCUUCAUUGACAGUUAAUCCUUGCACUUUGUGGGAACUGCUUACACAACCCACCCUCGCUGUUAACUCGCUCUUCCUCUAAAGUAAAUGGAGUGGAAUUCAUGAUGUUUCUAGGUGGUGGUGUACGCUUCCAAGUGGUAUUCCCAACUUUAUCAUCACCAAAUUGAACACAUACUAAAUUCACAAUUGUGUUGUUUGUAUUAAGGGCCAUGUCUGUUACAGUACCACAGACACCAUUUACAAGUCCAUCAGUGACGUCAAUAUUCUUAAUUAACAUAAGCGUAGAGGGGCCUGGGUAGCUCAGUGGUAAAACACGCUGGCUACCACCCCUGGAGUUCGCUAGUUUGAAUCCCAGGGCGUGCUGAGUGACUCCAGCCAGGUCUUGUAAGCAACCAAAAUUGGCCCAGUUGCUAGGGAGGGUAGAGUCACAUGGGGUAACCUCCUCAUGGUCACUAUAAUGUGGUUUGUUCUCGGUGGGGCGCAUGGUGAAUUGAGCGUGGUUGCCGCGGUGGAUGGCGUGGCUUGUUGAGCAACACGCUCAACAAGCCAUGUGAUAAGAUGCACAGGUUGACUGUCUCAGACGUGGAGGCAACUGGGAUUCGUCCUCUACCACCUGGACUGAGGCAAAUCACUAUGCAACCACGAGGACUUAGAGCGCAUUGGGAAUUGGGCAUUCCAAAUUGGGAGAAAAAGGGGGGAAAAUCCCCCCCCAAAAAAGAAAAAUUAACAUAAGUGCACCUUUACCUAAUAGAAACUUUUCCGGUAAACAGGAAUUAAAUACUUUGCAAAAGUGUCCCUUUUUAAGUUGCAUUUGUCCAGUUUGUUUAUUUUUCUCAAAAUCCUGAGCAUCUACACAAAUGUAGUCAAGGCAAUAUGCAAUUAUCUGUUUGAUAUUAUGCUCUUCCACUUGCAUAUUUGUUGGGAAAGUGGAAGUGGUUUGCCCAGUUUCCCUACUUUUGUGCAUAUUUAAGUCAUUAAGUGAUAAUGGGGAACUCUUGCUACGUGUACGCAAUCUGUUCAGUAUUUCCGCAAAAGCUGAGUCUUUUUGCCAAACAGUGAUUGUUAAUUCUGACAGUACAAAUGUGCUGUUCCACAAAUCCAAUGGAGCAUUUUGCAAACAUAAUGGUUUUCUUCUCAGGUGGCAGCUGGAAAAAAAUUUCCCACAGCAAUUAUACUAACUUUACCAAAUGGAGAGUAGUCACCUGUCUGGUUUAUUUGUCUAAGCCUACCAUGGACAUAGGCUAGCAGGCUGUGGUUUACCAUAGACAUUUCAUCUAUAUAAAGUAUAUGCAAGUCAAUAAAUACCACAUGCAUUGUAUUUACUUUUUCUUCUCCUAAAGGUGUAUAAGACAAUUUUACAUCUGUCCUGAUUGAAAAUGUACUAUGGAUCAUCUUGGCACCCAAGUUGAAAGCAGCAAUUCCAGUAGGUGCUGUCAAUAGAACAGAAACUUUGUCUGGUGCAGUUGCAAUUUGGGAUAAUAAUCUGGUCGCUUCAUAAUGAAUAGCUCUGAUUAAAUGUGACUUUCCUGUUCCUGCACCUCCAGUAACAAAUACAUGGAAAGGCUCUGGCUUUUUACCUCUAACUUUCUCUAAGCACCACUGUCUUACUUGAUAGAAAAUAUAUUUUUCAGAGACCUAAGUAGAUUGAGAGCAUCUGAUCUGCAUCUGAAGACAUUCAAACUAGACUCAAAUCAAUUGCUUCUUUCAUUUUGAAUGGAUAGAUCAGGAAUUAUAUCAACAUGCUCAUCAAGUUCUUUUGAUGAAUCUCUAAUUUCUUGUUGACAUUCCAAGCGCUCUGACUCCUGCUCAGGACACUUCUCACACAUUUUCCAGUUUGCCCUGGCUACAUUUUGCUAGGGCCCUAUGUCCCCCUGUGACAGGGGGACCCCUCGUUAGGUCCCAAGCACUGAAAGUGCGGAGCCCUAUUGUUCUUGUAAAGAUUAUUAGGGCCCAAGCACUGAAAGUGCGAAGACCCUAAUGUUCUUCUAAGGAUUACUAUUAUUAUUAUUUUUAUUAUUAGGGCCCAAGCACUGAAAGUGCGGAGCCCUAUUGUUCUUCUAAGGAUUAUUAGGACCCAAGCACUGAAAGUGCGGUCUCUGCAGCGCCACCUUGAACAUGGGCAUAUUCGGGGGGCUAUGUAGCACAUCCCUUUUGAGCUACAGUCACCAAAUUUUGUACACAUAUAGAUCUCAUGAAGCCGGACAACUUUCGUGCUGACAGUCAUAAGCUCUGCCUAAAAGGAAGUUGGCCAUUUUGGAUUGUUUGAAAAAUGCAUGCUCAGGAAUUUGAUAUACUUCUCCCAGGGAUUUUAUGUUACAGGUACCAAAUGUGGGCGACAUCAUGCCAAGACAUUGACGGUGCUAAAUUACAAAGGGAUUUUUGAUAUAUUGAACGGUGUUGCCAUGGCGAAGCGAUAAAAUAACAUAAAAAAAAUGGAAUAAGGAAAUGUCUCAUAUCUUCUGCGUGCAGAAAAUUUUAAACAUCAAAAUUGAGCCAAAUGUUUGUCCUUGCAGGCUGAUCAUAUUGAUGUGACUAUUGUGGGUCAUGGUUGUAGUGCCACCAACUGGCGGAAGGAAGUGUGUCACUUUAAACAGACUUUAAAAUAUCCUUUUUAUGUUAACCUGAAUUGCUUCAAAAAAUUUUAGAAUAAUGUCAAGACAGUGCAGAUUUAAAAUUCUGAAGGGAUUAUUGAUAUCUUAAAUACUGUUGCCAUGGCAAUGCAUUA